AUUGAACGCUGGCGGCAGGCCUAACACAUGCAAGUCGAGCGAGCGGCGGACGGGUGAGUAAUGUAUGGGGACUGCCCGAUAGAGGGGGAUAACUACUGGAAACGGUGGCUAAUACCGCAUACUAUCGGAUAACCCAUAUGGGAUUAGCUAGUAGGUGGGGUAAAGGCGCACCUAGGCGACGAUCUCUAGCUGGUCGGAGAGGAUGCUCAGCCGCACUGGGACUGCGACACGGCCCAUACGCCUAGGGAGGCAGCAGUGGGGAAUAUUGCACAUGGGGCGUAGGCCUGAUGCAGCCACGCCGCGUGUAGGAAGAAGGCCUUAGGGUUUUAAAGUACUUUCGGCGGGGAGGCGUGACCCGCAGAAUAAGAACCGGCUAACUCCGUGCCAGCAGCCGCGGUAAUAC
rnacentral:rRNA from 1 species